rnacentral:rRNA from 1 species
AGCGAACGCUGGCGGCAGGCCUAACACAUGCAAGUCGAACGAAGUCUUCGGACUUAGUGGCGGACGGGUGAGUAACACGUGGGAACGUGCCUUUAGGUUCGGAAUAACUCAGGGAAACUUGUGCUAAUACCGAAUGUGCCCUUCGGGGGAAAGAUUUAUCGCCUUUAGAGCGGCCCGCGUCUGAUUAGCUAGUUGGUGAGAUAAAGGCUCACCAAGGCGACGAUCAGUAGCUGGUCUGAGAGGAUGAUCAGCCACAUUGGGACUGAGACACGGCCCAAACUCCUACGGGAGGCAGCAGUGGGGAAUCUUGCGCAAUGGGCGAAAGCCUGACGCAGCCAUGCCGCGUGAAUGAUGAAGGUCUUAGGAUUGUAAAAUUCUUUCACCGGGGACGAUAAUGACGGUACCCGGAGAAGAAGCCCCGGCUAACUUCGUGCCAGCAGCCGCAGUAA